CCUGCCUUGGGACUGCGUGUGGUGGGAGGUGGGCAAGGAUACGGUGCCGCUUGUUCUCGGGGAACUCGGAGCGCAGGCGGGUCAGGUGGGCCUGGUGGCAGUGCAGGCCCCACGGGUUAAACCUCUUCUUCUCAACCUGGUUCCCAUUAGCAUCUUCCACCAGCGAGGACACUUGAGCGUUGAGGUGGGACUCGGGCCUCAGGGGUGCCUUGGCUGGGCUGCGGCUGGCGGGAGCACACGACGGUCAGGGUGGUGCGGGGAGGGUGCCGUGACUGUGACUGGGCUCCCUGGGACGGGCUCUGACAGGGCUGUCCCCAGCUGCUCGCCCUGGCGGCCCGCACCAGGCUGCUGGAAGUGCCCUCCCUGUCCAGCUCGGGUCCCUGGGACCAGAUCACACCACACUGCAGGCCUCUCGGGGUUUCUGCAAACCCCAGAGUAAGUCGUUGGAAUGUGUCACCCAUCGGAGGGCCGAGGUGGUUUAAACUGGCUGUGAGUGAUCUGGACUAUUGCUCGUCUUCCCACGGGGGCACGUGUGGGCAGCAGCCCCAUCUAGAAGCGCAAGGCGGCUUGGACUCUGAUACUCUGGCAGGGAUCCUUUUCAUCUGAGGAAGGUCAGCUGACAUUGUCAGAGGUUUCGGAGCCCUCCCCAAGGACCUCUGGACCCGCUGUGAGCCGCGCGGACCUUCCCCCUCCUCACGUCCUGACUGCUAAGGAAAGACGAUUUCUGAGCAAUUAGCCACACUACUCCUUUAUGUAAACUAUUCUAGGGCUUCUGUUCUGCACACUUUUCCCUCAGAGACACCUGAUGGUCUCGGCAAAACACGUAUUUAAUUAAACAAAUAUGUACCGAA